rnacentral:lncRNA from 13 species
GCGCGCCGCCAAGGGCGCGGGAGGGGCGGCGCGAGCCGGGCGCGCAGCCCCGGGGACCCGGUCAGGCCCAGGCGCCGCCGCCGCCACACAAAGGACGGCGCGGGCGGGCGGCGCUCCCUCCGCGCUCCCAGCCGCCGCGGCCGCUCGCCGUCCCCGCCUUCCCCGCCUCCGCCUCCCCCUCCUCGGCCUCCCCCUCCUCGGCCUCCUCCUCCCAGUUCAGCCUUUGUCGCGCGGCGGGGGGCGCCCGGCCCGCGGCUCCCCAGUCAGAGAGGUUUAUCUGCGUAUCCUGGUGAAGUUAGGAUGCAGAGAACUUGGAGCGGUUGUUUUCUACCAGACACGAGGAUCCCUGUGAAAGAAAGACAGCUAAACCACCAAGGCCCAGCCAACUGGUGGGAUCCUGAAAUGAACUUCCCUUGAAAGCGGCACGACUUUGCACCCUGUCAGCGAAGAGAUUGUUUACAUGUAAUGAGGCUGAGUUUAAAAGAAGGCAGAAAGAAAGAAGAAAACACUAUGACUACAGUUCUGUGAGUGUGCAUAUCCAAAGGGAGAUACCCAUCCAUAGAAGAUGGUUGCUGUCAGAAAAUGCUGAGGAGUUUGCACAAGGAACGGAAGUGGAGUUGACCAAUGCAUCAGGAAGCGUACACUUUCUUUUUAAACCGCUGUGCUCGUCUGUAAAGACCCAAACCUGAGGGGUAAAAGGGGAGAGAAUGAAGUUAAUGCUUCUGUGUCAUAGAGAAAAGCUGCCAGAAUGUGAUUAAGCUUUUUGAGUUAGAACUUAAUAAAAAUGCCUUUGCUACUGGUUUCCA